UUGACCUCGGAUACAGGUCAAGCACCCCCCCCGCCCCC
rnacentral:rRNA from 1 species